UACAGAGGUCUCAAGCGUUGUUCGGAUUUAUUGGGCGUAAAGAGCUCGUAGGCGGUUCGACAAGUCGGGUGUGAAAACUCCGGGCUCAACCCGGAGACGCCACCCGAUACUGUCGUGACUGGAGUCCGGUAGGGGAGUGGGGAAUUCCUGGUGUAGCGGUGAAAUGCGCAGAUAUCAGGAGGAACACCGGUGGCGAAGGCGCCACUCUGGGCCGGUACUGACGCUGAGGAGCGAAAGCGUGGGUAGCAAACAGG
rnacentral:rRNA from 1 species